rnacentral:rRNA from 1 species
AGUAAAUAGAUACCCCGGUAGUCCACGCCGUAAACGAUGUCGACUUGGAGGUUGUGCCCUUGAGGCGUGGCUUCCGGAGCUAAACGCGUUAAAGUCGACCGCCUGGGGAGUACGGCCGCAAGGUUAAAACUCAAAUGAAUUGACGGGGCCCGCACAAGCGGUGGAGCAUGUGGUUUAAUUCGAUGCAACGCGAAGAACCUUACCUACUCUUGACAUCCAGAGAACUUUUCAGAGAUGGAUUGGUGCCUUCGGGAACUCUGAGACAGGUGCUGCAUGGCUGUCGUCAGCUCGUGUUGUGAAAUGUUGGGUUAAGUCCCGCAACGGGCGCAACCCUUAUCCUUUGUUGCCAGCGGUUAGGCCGGGAACUCAAAGGAGACUGCCAGUGAUAAACUGGAGGAAGGUGGGGAUGACGUCAAGUCAUCAUGGCCCUUACGAGUAGGGCUACACACGUGCUACAAUGGCGCAUACAAAGAGAAGCGACCUCGCGAGAGCAAGCGGACCUCAUAAAGUGCGUCGUAGUCCGGAUUGGAGUCUGC